rnacentral:tRNA from 1 species
UCUUCGAUAGUAUAGUGGUGAGUAUCUCCGCCUGUCACGCGGAAGACCGGGGUUCAAUUCCCCGUCAGGGAG